GACGAACGCUGGCGGCGUGCUUAACACAUGCAAGUCGAGCGGUAAGGCCCUUUCGGGGGUACACGAGCGGCGAACGGGUGAGUAACACGUGGGUGACCUGCCCUCAGCUCUGGGAUAAGCCUGGGAAACUGGGUCUAAUACCGGAUAUGACUCCAUGACGCAUGUCGUGGGGUGGAAAGCCUUGUGCGGCUGGGGAUGGGCCCGCGGCCUAUCAGCUUGUUGGUGGGGUGAUGGCCUACCAAGGCGACGACGGGUAGCCGGCCUGAGAGGGCGACCGGCCACACUGGGACUGAGACACGGCCCAGACUCCUACGGGAGGCAGCAGUGGGGAAUCUUGCGCAAUGGGCGAAAGCCUGACGCAGCGACGCCGCGUGAGGGAUGACGGCCU
rnacentral:rRNA from 1 species